rnacentral:rRNA from 1 species
UGAGUAACCUGCCCUUAACUCUGGGAUAAGCCUGGGAAACUGGGUCUAAUACCGGAUAUGACUCCUCAUCGCAUGGUGGGGGGUGGAAAGCUUUUGUGGUUUUGGAUGGACUCGCGGCCUAUCAGCUUGUUGGUGAGGUAAUGGCUCACCAAGGCGACGACGGGUAGCCGGCCUGAGAGGGCGACCGGCCACACUGGGACUGAGAUACGGCCCAGACUCCUACGGGAGGCAG